UACGUAGGUGGCAAGCGUUGUCCGGAUUUACUGGGCGUAAAGAGCGCGCAGGCGGUCGUUCAAGUCGCGUGUGAAAGCCCCUGGCUCAACCAGGGAGGGUCAUUCGAUACUGUUCGACUCGAAGGCAGGAGAGGGAAGUGGAAUUCCGGGUGUAGUGGUGAAAUGCGUAGAUAUCCGGAGGAACACCAGUGGCGAAGGCGACUUUCUGGCCUGUUCUUGACGCUGAGGCGCGAAAGCUAGGGGAGCGAACAGG
rnacentral:rRNA from 1 species